UAAUCGGAAUGAGUACACUCUAAAUCCUUUAACGAGGAUCAAUUGGAGGGCAAGUCUGGUGCCAGCAGCCGCGGUAAUUCCAGCUCCAAUAGCGUAUAUUAAAGUUGUUGCGGUUAAAAAGCUCGUAGUCGAAUUUGUGUCCCGCGCCGCCGGUUCAUCGCUCGCGGUGUCAACUGGCGUGUCCGCGGGACGUCCUGCCGGUGGGCUUAGCCCCUCGCGGGCGGCCCAAUCUCAAUCCCACCGCGGUGCUCUUCACUGAGUGUCGAGGUGGGCCGGCACGUUUACUUUGAACAAAUUAGAGUGCUUAAAGCAGGCUAAAACAUCGCCUGAAUACUGGUGCAUGGAAUAAUGGAAUAGGACCUCGGUUCUAUUUUGUUGGUUUUCGGAACCCCGAGGUAAUGAUUAAUAGGAACGGAUGGGGGCAUUCGUAUUGCGACGUUAGAGGUGAAAUUCUUGGAUCGUCGCAAGACGGACAGAAGCGAAAGCAUUUGCCAAAAACGCUUUCAUUGAUCAAGAACGAAAGUUAGAGGUUCGAAGGCGAUCAGAUACCGCCCUAGUUCUAACCAUAAACGAUGCCAGCUAGCGAUCCGCCGACGUUCCUCCGAUGACUCGGCGGGCAGCUUCCGGGAAACCAAAGCUUUUGGGUUCCGGGGGAAGUAUGGUUGCAAAGCUGAAACUUAAAGGAAUUGACGGAAGGGCACCACCAGGAGUGGAGCCUGCGGCUUAAUUUGACUCAACACGGGAAACCUCACCAGGCCCGGACACCGGAAGGAUUGACAGAUUGAGAGC
rnacentral:rRNA from 1 species